UGGCUCAGUUGGUAGAGCAUGGCGCUGGUAACACAAGGGUUGUGGGUUCAAUUCCCAC
rnacentral:tRNA from 1 species